rnacentral:tRNA from 2 species
GGAAGGGUAGCUCAGUGGCAGAGCACCACCAUCUCGGUGGGGGCCUUACGGCUUCGUGUGGUUCGAAUCCCACCCCUUCCG